rnacentral:rRNA from 1 species
AUUGAACGCUGGCGGCAUGCCUUACACAUGCAAGUCGAACGGUAACGCGGGGCAACCUGGCGACGAGUGGCGAACGGGUGAGUAAUGCAUCGGAACGUGCCCAGUAGUGGGGGAUAGCCCGGCGAAAGCCGGAUUAAUACCGCAUACGACCUACGGGUGAAAGCGGGGACCGUAAGGCCUCGCGCUAUUGGAGCGGCCGAUGUCAGAUUAGGUAGUUGGUGGGGUAAAGGCCUACCAAGCCGACGAUCUGUAGCUGGUCUGAGAGGACGACCAGCCACACUGGGACUGAGACACGGCCCAGACUCCUACGGGAGGCAGCAGUGGGGAAUUUUGGACAAUGGGCGCAAGCCUGAUCCAGCCAUGCCGCGUGCGGGAAGAAGGCCUUCGGGUUGUAAACCGCUUUUGUCAGGGAAGAAACGCUCCGAGCUAAUACCUCGGGGUAAUGACGGUACCUGAAGAAUAAGCACCGGCUAACUACGUGCCAGCAGCCGCCGUAACAC